UUACUGUACACACAUUUUGGUAACUGUACACACAUAAGGUUACUGUUCACACUUUUGGUUACUGUACACACGUUAGGUUUCUGUUCAUGCAUUUGGUAACUGUACACACUUUUGGUUACUGUUCACAUGUUUAUUAACUACACACAUUUGGUUACUGUUCACAGGUUCGGUAACUGUAAACACGUUUGGUAACUGUAUGCACAUUUUGGUAACUGUACACACUUUUGGUUACUGUACGCACUUUUGGUUACUGUACACAGGUUCGGUAACUGUACACACAUAAGGUUACUGUACACACUUUUGUUUACUGUACACACUUUUGGUUACUGUACACACGUUAGGUUACUGUACACACAUUAGGUUACUGUACACACAUUUGGUAACUGUACACAUGUUAGGUUACUGUACACAGGUUAGGUUACUGUACACAUGUUAGGUUGCUGUACACACGUUAGGUUACUGUACAUGCGCCCAGAUGUUAGGUUACUGUACACACGUUAGGUUACUGUAUAUGUGCCCAGAUGUUAGGUUACUGUACCCACGUUAGGUUACUGUACAUGUGCCCAGCUGUUAGGUUACUGUACACACGUUAGGUAACUGUACACACCUUUGGUUACUGUACACACAUUUGGUUAAUGUACACACAUUUGGUU